GUGAUGGUGAGGUGGAAGUGAUGCUGGUGUUACUGAAUGUGAUAGAAUUGGUCAAUAGAAAACAUGGUAAUGGUGGCAGUGAUGACAGUGGUAGAGCUGGAGAAGGGAGCAGUGAUGCGAUAGUGGAGGUGAUGGUGGUGCAGGUGAUAAAGGUGAUGGUGGUGGUGCAGGUGAUAGAGGUGAUGGUGGUGGUGUAGGGGAUAGAGGUGGUGGAGAUGGAAGUGAUGGAGGUGAUGAUGGAGGUGGUGAUGGAGGUGGAAGGGAUGGAGGUGGUGAUGGAGAUGAUGGAGGACCAUGAUAGUGGUGCAGGUGAUGGAGGUGAUGAUGGCAGUGGUGGUGGUGCAGGUGAUGGAGGUGGUAGUGGAGGUGGUGAUGGAGGUGAUGGUGGUGGUGGUAUGUGGAAACAGCACAGAUGGCAUUGAG
rnacentral:lncRNA from 1 species